UACGAAGGGUGCUAGCGUUGUUCGGAAUUACUGGGCGUAAAGCGUACGUAGGCGGUUUAGUAAGUCGGUUGUGAAAGCCCUAGGCUUAACUUAGGAAUUGCAGUCGAUACUGCUUUACUAGAGUCUGGUGGGGGAUGGCGGAAUUCCUAGUGUAGGGGUGAAAUCCGUAGAUAUUAGGAGGAACACCAGUGGCGAAGGCGGCCAUCUACGCCAGAACUGACGCUGAGGUACGAAAGCGUGGGGAGCAAACAGGAUUAGAUA
rnacentral:rRNA from 1 species